CCUACGGGGGGCAGCAGUGGGGAAUAUUGGACAAUGGGCGAAAGCCUGAUCCAGCCAUGCCGCGUGUGUGAAGAAGGCCUUCGGGUUGUAAAGCACUUUCAGUGGGGAAGAAAGCCUUGGGGCUAAUACCCUCGAGGAAGGACAUCACCCACAGAAGAAGCACCGGCUAACUCCGUGCCAGCAGCCGCGGUAAUACGGAGGGUGCGAGCGUUAAUCGGAAUUACUGGGCGUAAAGCGCGCGUAGGCGGUCUGAUAAGCCGGUUGUGAAAGCCCCGGGCUCAACCUGGGAACGGCAUCCGGAACUGUCAGGCUAGAGUGCAGGAGAGGAAGGUAGAAUUCCCGGUGUAGCGGUGAAAUGCGUAGAGAUCGGGAGGAAUACCAGUGGCGAAGGCGGCCUUCUGGACUGACACUGACGCUGAGGUGCGAAAGCGUGGGUAGCGAACAGGAUUAGAUACCCCUGUAGUC
rnacentral:rRNA from 1 species